rnacentral:misc_RNA from 1 species
UCCGGCUUACCACCGGCAGUCUCACUAGAGUGCCCGACAUUACUCGCUGGCAACUAGCGACAAGGGUUGCGCUCGUUGCGGGACUUAACCCAACAUCUCACGACACGAGCUGACGACAGCCAUGCAGCACCUGUGCACGGACCCCGAAGGGAGGGUGUGUUUCCACACCUGUCCCGUGCAUGUCAAACCGGAGGAAGGUGGGGAUGACGUGUAACCGAAU